AGCAGCGGUGACAGAUUGGUGAGACUCCCAACAAGCGAGAAGGCAGCGGAGCUUUCAUUUCACUUCCUGUUGCCUGAAGCCAAAGCAGAAACUGUGGACAAGGCCUGUAACUCACUGCCCUUGAUAGGUGAUCAAAUUCUGCCUCCAAAGGUUUCGCUGCGGCACCGGUAGGGCGGGAGACCUCCGGCAAGCAUCUGCCAGCAUCCCUGCCAACUUCUGAAAGCCAGGCUUCCUGUGAGACCAGAUUCCUCGGAUUACUCUCUCCUGCAGGUUCUUAAAGCA
rnacentral:lncRNA from 1 species